UAACCUUGCGGCCGUACUCCCCAGGCGGUCUACUUAAUGCGUUAGCUUGAGAGCCCAGUGUUCAAGACACCAAACUCCGAGUAGACAUCGUUUACGGCGUGGACUACCAGGGUAUCUAAUCCUGUUUGCUCCCCACGCUUUCGUGCCUGAGCGUCAGUCUUUGUCCAGGGGGCCGCCUUCGCCACCGGUAUUCCUCCAGAUCUCUACGCAUUUCACCGCUAUACCUGGAAUUCUACCCCCCUCUACAAGACUCUAGUUCGCCAGUUCGAAAUGCAAUUCCCAGGUUGAGCCCGGGGCUUUCACAUCUCGCUUAACAAACCGCCUGCGCACGCUUUACGCCCAGUAAUUCCGAUUAACGCUCGGACCCUCCGUAUUACCGCGGCUGCUGGCACGGAGUUAGCCGGUCCUUCUUCUGUAGGUAACGUCACAGCAACAGCGUAUUAAGCUGCUACCUUUCCUCCCUACUGAAAGUGCUUUACAACCCGAAGGCCUUCUUCACACACGCGGCAUGGCUGCAUCAGGGUUUCCCCCAUUGUGCAAUAUUCCCCA
rnacentral:rRNA from 1 species